UAUAAGGGAUUUUGAGUUUUUGCUUGCAACAUUUGACCACUCGUCUUAUUCAAAAUUUUUUAAAAUUAUUAAUUAUUUUAUUUAUGACUUACUUUAUUAUCUACAGUAUUUUAAGCACAACUUUUUGUUUUUUUAUAUUUGCAAAAAAAAUUUAAAUAAGACGAGUGGUCAAACGUUGUAAGCAAAAAUUGAAAAUCUUAUA
rnacentral:pre_miRNA from 1 species